UAUGGUGGAGCAUUCUGAGAAAUUUGC
rnacentral:piRNA from 1 species